UCAUAUAACAGAGUUUUGCCAGAUCCACAAGCUUUGGCAAAUGGUACAGGUUGGGUAAGUUGGGAUUUGGCAUCCGCAGUCUGAUAAGUGAGAUUAUUUACGAGAGUUUCUAUGUCCUUAAACUUUGGCGUAAAGCCAAGACGGAUAACGUUAUCACUGGCAGCCAUGCACUCAAUUAUAUUUCCAGAAACAUAAGCAUGUGGAUCUAAGGCACGAAGAAAAACGGCUUCUCCUGGAUGUAAUCGAACGUA